rnacentral:rRNA from 1 species
UACAGAGGGGGCAAGCGUUGUUCGGAAUUACUGGGCGUAAAGGGCGCGUAGGCGGCCUUCUAAGUCGAACGUGAAAUCCCCGGGCUCAACCCGGGAACUGCGUCCGAGACUGGAAGGCUUGAAUCCGGGAGGGGGAUGUGGAAUUCCAGGUGUAGCGGUGAAAUGCGUAGAUAUCUGGAGGAACAUCGGUGGCGAAGGCGGCAUCCUGGACCGGUAUUGACGCUGAGGCGCGAAAGCCAGGGGAGCAAACGGG